ensembl:lncRNA
CUUCCCAUUAGGACUCUGAGCUCCAGAAGGCCAGCGUCCGUGCUUAUCUUGCUCAUCAUUUUACCCAAAGUGUCUAGCCUUGUACUAAAUGUUCACUGGAAGAAAUAAUGAAGUUUGCUCACACAUUCAUAAACAUGUACGUGUAUAUACGUUUAUUCAUACACAUCCACACAUGAGAGCAUGAACAGAUGGGAAUCAGAAAAAGGGGACCAUCUGGAAUGUGGCUAAAAAUGGAAUGAUGCCACCUCAGGUGUCUGAAUGGGAACACUGGUGUUUGCGUGUAGGAGGAGAUAACUUGAAAUCUAGUAGCCUGGUGAAAGGAAGUUAGCAGAACUGAUAUGGACUGGGAUGGAAGAUUGUUUUACAGAUAAUUCACAUCCUAGAUGCCUUAUCAUGGCAUCCUAAGGCCUGUUAGAGAUAGAAGUUUAGGGAAAAACUUGGGUUGCCUGUACCUUUACAAUGUGAAGGAAGCAGGAAAAUAAACAUAGGCAAUCUGCCCUCCAUGCCCCUGAAUCCAUCAGCAGAGCAAAGAGACUCCUUUCUCUUGUCACUAUGGGAGAUAAGGCAUUCUAGAUCGAUAUUUGACCCAAGGUCAUUAAAAACAUAAUAAUGGGGCUGCACCCCAACAUGUUUUUCCGCCUAUCAGUGCUUCUUGUCUACCACAGAUGCUGGCUCCUCAUCCUGCAAAGUCCCACCUGUUUCAUAAAGGUUGGCCAACCUGUCAUAAGCAAUGGCUGCUUAGCCACUUGGGGAACAAAUGUUCUGUUUGUGCUGUAAUCAUGGGGAGCCUGCAUGGAGGUGGUGUCUGCCUCCAACCAGCUAACAAAGUGGUCCCUGAGGGUGGGGCCAGUUCGGGCAGGGUGUUUUAAGAAAGCCAGUGACUGGCUAGCCAGGGCUUGGCAUGAGGGGAUGCUUCUCAAGGAGCUAGUUUUCACUUGUACCAUAAUAUAUAGAAGGGUUUGUUCAUUUAUUCCCUUACUCACCCUUUCGGAGGAGUUGCAAGCUUAAAUUCCAGCAGGGAAUGGAUGUAAUAUAUGAAGCGUGGUGAAUGACGAGAGGGAGAAAAGAUUGGAUUGAGACUCAAGCUUACUUGGUACAUCGGUCAAGAAGCAGCAACCCCUCAUGUUAGACAAGGAGAACACCAAGCCCUGGCUGUGAGUGCCAGCAAAUGAGCUCAUAGCAACCCCAAGGCCAAAGUGAUAGUAAGUAUGAGGCCAGUUCGUGGAUGUCAGUGUCUUCUUUUCUCUUUCUCGGAAGUUUCCACUGUGUUUGCCUGGCUACUCCCUACGGCUCCUUCAGAUCUCAGCUUAAAUCUCCUUUCCUAAGGAUGGUCUUUCCUGAUCCACUCCCCCAAAAUAAGUAGAUCAAGUCUCUGUGUUACACAGUCCUUAUACCUUCUGCUUCUCCUUUGCAGCACUCAUCACAAUUGCCAUUGCUUAUUGUGCCGUGGGUUAUCCAAUACUUGUCUCUCCAGCUCACCUGUAAACUCCACGAGAGCAGGGACCAUGUCGGUCUUGUUCAUCCCAGGAUCCUGAGUGACUCACACUGCAACAAACACUUAGUAAAUACUCGAAAUUAGUAUUUGAUGAGUGAAUAUUGAUGAACAUGGGACAGUGAGCUUCUUGUGUGUGUGUGUUUCAUGCCUCACUUAGGUUUGUAUUCCAGGGCCUAUAAAAGUGCUUUGCACCUAGUCGGUGCUCAAUAAAUAUUUGUGUAAUGGGUUGUGAUGGUUAAUUUUAUGUGUCAACUUGACUGGGCUAUGGGAUGCCCAGCUGGUUAAAUAUUAUUUCUGGUUGUGUCUUGAGGGUGUUUCUGUAAGAGGUUAGCAUUUGAAUUGGUGAACAGAGUAAAGCAGGUGGCCCUCACCAAUGUGUGUGGGCACUGUCUUCGGUUGAGGGCCUGAAUAGAAUAAAAAGGUGGAGGAAGGUUGAAUUAACUGACUGUGUGAGCUGGGACAUUGAUCUCCUCCUGCCCUUGGCACUCCUACUUCUCAGGCCUUUGGACCUGGACUGGAGUCUAUACCAUCAGCUCUCUGGCUCUGGGGCCUUUGAACUACACCACUGGCUUUCCUGGGUCGCCAGCUUGCAGAUGACAGAUCCUGGGACUUCUCAGCCUCCACAGUUGUAGUCCCAGGUGGGUUAGAUAUUCGGCACUGUGUGGGGAAGACCUGUCUGGUAUCCUGCUUGACUUUCCAGUGUCCUGUCAGACCUUCACGUGGGUGAGAAACCCAUUUAUUAUCAUUGAGUCUGUUUUACAUAUAAACAUAGACUACAUCUUGCGUGAUUUUAGCAUACUCUGAUUUGUCUGAGAGUGCUACUUACUGUGUACAUCAGGGGAUGGUUGUGGUUAAUUUUGCUCCAAAUUUUACCAAUAGUUGUACAUCAUUUCAGAAAAAUCAUCUCACCAAUGGCAAUGCUGCUCUAGGUAUCUGAGGGGCCAAAAACAACCCCUGAAUCAGCUUGCAUUGUAGCUGUAGUAUACACAGUGGUUCUUUGUCUAGAGCCAACAUCAGACUACCUAGGUCUUCUAGCAUUUACAUAUGAAAGUGAUUUUUGAAAAUUUAUAUGUAUAUAGGUUAUAUUAUCUCUGAAUUUCAUUUCAGGGUAGUAAAGGGACCAUUACAAUAUAUUUGUUAUAAAAGGGUGAGUAGAAUGGAUCCUUGCUCCCAUUCUUCAUUCUCUCUCUUAAUGGAAUUACACAUCAACAUCUUUUGCCACGUGACUUUGCAGUACCUCCAACUAGAGUGGGUGAAGAAUGUUUCUGUGCCUCACUGAUUUGGAGCUUGACCAUGAGACUUGCUUUGGCCAAUGAAAUGUGGACACCCAAGUGGAAAUGUGUGAGUCCUGAGCCUGGUCCUCAAAAGGCACCAUGUGUUUUCACUAGUCCUCUGUGCUUCUGCCAUUUGCUGUGAGAAAAACAUGCCUCAAGUGGCCACUGCUCUCUGGAGAAUGGGGAGACGCUUGGAACAGAUCUGAGCCCACCCUGGAGCCUGGAGCCCAGCUCAUGGAGUCCCAGAUGAGCUCAGCAGAACCACAGACUCGUACAGGACGGAAUGGCAGCCCCUCUGCCUACUUCAUGGGGUAGAAAUGGGAUGUGAAAAUGCCUCUGCGUCUGCUUUUCCUUCUGCGUGGUGUGACUUUUCCUCCAGGCGGAGGCAGGUGCCCUCCUCUGUGCCAUUGCAGUGACAGAUUU